CGAACGAAGUGUUGGUGCUUGCACUAACACUUAGUGGCGAACGGGUGAGUAAUACUUGGGAAUCUGCCUUGUAGCGGGGGAUAACGUUUCGAAAGGAACGCUAAUACCGCAUACGUCCUACGGGAGAAAGGAGGGGAUCUUCGGACCUUCCACUAUAAGAUGAGCCCAAGCGAGAUUAGCUAGUUGGUAAGGUAAAGGCUUACCAAGGCGACGAUCUCUAGCUGGUCUGAGAGGAUGAUCAGCCACACUGGGACUGANACACGGCCCAGACUCCUACGGGAGGCAGCAGUGGGGAAUAUUGGACAAUGGGCGAAAGCCUGAUCCAGCCAUGCCGCGUGUGUGAAGAAGGCCUUCGGGUUGUAAAGCACUUUAAGCGAGGAGGAAUGGCUCUGGGUUAAUACCCUUGAGCAGUGACGUUACUCGCAGAAUAAGCACCGGCUAACUCUGUGCCAGCAGCCGCGGUAAUACAGAGGGUGCAGGCGUUAAUCGGAAUUACUGGGCGUAAAGCGCGCGUAGGCGGUUACGUAAGUUGGAGGUGAAAUCCCCGAGCUCAACUUGGGAAUUGCCUUCAAAACUGCGUGGCUAGAGUGUGGGAGAGGAAGGUAGAAUUCCAGGUGUAGCGGUGAAAUGCGUAGAUAUCUGGAGGAAUACCGAUGGCGAAGGCAGCCUUCUGGCUUAACACUGACGCUGAGGUGCGAAAGCUUGGGGAGCAAACAGGAUUAGAUACCCUGGUAGUCCAUGCCGUAAACGAUGUCUACUAGCCGUGGGGGACUUGAUCCUUUAUGGCGCAGCUAACGCAUUAAGUACACCGCCUGGGGAGUACGGUCGCAAGACUAAAACUCAAAUGAAUUGACGGGGG
rnacentral:rRNA from 1 species